AUCUUUUUCACAUUCAUAAGCAUGAUUGGGUUUACAUGCAAUUGUGUGAGAUGUGCUUCCCUCAAACCUUGUUACAAUGUUGGCACAUUCCUCAUCUCAUA